rnacentral:misc_RNA from 1 species
GCUAAACUCUAUAGUUAAACUGUAGGUUCCUAUUUUCCCGGCUACUACAAUCAUCGACCAAAUGUUUACGGGGAAAAUUGAACCACGCGUUAUCCAACGCGACGCCUACACAGCGGCGAUUAAAGUGUUGGUUGCCGUGAAAGCAGAGAAGGUGAUCUCUAAGACUGCACUAACUUGGGCAUUAACUCACAUUGUCCUUCCCGGUGAGUGCAUAACCUUGCUUGCCGUCUUUUCUGACUGCAAAACCGGGAAGCGAUUCUGGAGCUUUCCGAGGUUGACCAGCGAUUGCAGGAGCAGUCAACGGGAAUGGUUGCCGGAUCGCAUUUGUGAAAUCUCCGAGUCCUGUUCUCGGAUGGUGCUUCAAUUUCAUAACCAAGUUGAGGUAAGCUCGAAUUACGCAUUUGCUCACGUCAUCAAGUUCAAUACGGUUGCCGCGGACUAUUUCGUAUUAUUUGUUGCUAUGUCUUGUUAACCAGUGAAUUUUUCUUUUAUUGUUAAAAUACCAAUGUUUAUCGUCCUUGCCUGAACGGAUCCAAACGGGCAAGAGAAUUAGUGAUUGAUAUUGCAACCGAGUGCAAGUGAUUGGGCUGGAGGGGGGGAGGAUAUGGAAGAAGGAGGGGAAAGCAAAGUUUAAGUAUGGAAACACUGGCACUGGAUGCUUGGACUAUUAUCAACUAUAUCACUACUGUUCAUAACAUUUGCCUGAAACAGCCCUUGAAGGCAAGGCCUGCUGUCAGAUACAAACAAAUUAAGUUUAAUGAUAGGAAAAGCAUGUGCUCUGGAAUUUCAUGUUUCAAUUUUCGAGAUCAAGUAGGGGCCCGGGAAUCUUACGGUGCGUUUGGGCUCUGAGUGGAUCAUUAUUUAUCAUAUUAGGAAUAUGCAUUUCAACUCUAGUUAUAUGGUAAAGACACAUCGUCAUAUUUUCCCAAUUUUUGUACAUUUCUAUGUGUGAUUGAAAAUUACUGUGACAAAGAAGAAUAAAUUAUUAAUCUUGGUUUAACUUAUUUCAGUUCAAAGAUGUCAAGUGAUGAGUGCUAAUUGCUAUAGCAAUGCUUUUCUAUUUGCUUAUUAGUAUUUUGAAAUGGUAGAGAACUUUAUU